GAGAGUUUGAUCAUGGCUCAGAUUGAACGCUGGCGGCAGGCUUAACACAUGCAAGUCGAACGGUAACAGGUAAGUACUUGUACUUAUGCUGACGAGUGGCGGACGGGUGAGUAAUGCUUGGGGAUCUGGCUUAUGGAGGGGGAUAACGACGGGAAACUGUCGCUAAUACCGCGUAGAAUCGGGAGAUGAAAGUGUGGGACCUUCGGGCCACAUGCCAUAGGAUGAACCCAAGUGGGACUAGGUAGUUGGUGGGGUAAUGGCCUACCAAGCCGACGAUCUCUAGCUGGUCUGAGAGGAUGACCAGCCACACCGGGACUGAGACACGGCCCGGACUCCUACGGGAGGCAGCAGUGGGGAAUAUUGCGCAAUGGGGGCAACCCUGACGCAGCCAUGCCGCGUGAAUGAAGAAGGCCUUCGGGUUGUAAAGUUCUUUCGGUGACGAGGAAGGUUGUUGUGUUAAUAGCGCAACAAAUUGACGUUAAUCACAGAAGAAGCACCGGCUAACUCCGUGCCAGCAGCCACGGUAAUACGGAGGGUGCGAGCGUUAAUCGGAAUAACUGGGCGUAAAGGGCACGCAGGCGGACUUUUAAGUGAGGUGUGAAAUCCCCGGGCUUAACCUGGGAAUUGCAUUUCAGACUGGGGGUCUAGAGUACUUUAGGGAGGGGUAGAAUUCCACGUGUAGCGGUGAAAUGCGUAGAGAUGUGGAGGAAUACCGAAGCGAAGCAGCCCUUGGGAAUGUACUGACGCUCAUGUGCGAAGCGUGGGGAGCAAACAGGAUUAGAUACCUGGUAGUCACGCUGUAACGCUGUCGAUUGGGGAAUGUGCUUGAGCUUGUGCCGUAGCUAACGUGAUAAAUCGACCGCUGGGAGUACGGCGCAGUAAACUCAAAUGAAUGACGGGCGCACAGCGUGAGCAUGUGUAAUCGAUGCACGCGAGACUUACUAUCUGACUCAUGGAUCUGAAGAUUGAUGCUCGGACAUGAACGUCGCAUGCUGCUCAGUCUAGUUGAUGUAGUAGUCGACAGGCACAUACUCUGCGAUGUCGAUCAGAUCGUACGGACUGGGUAUAGCCCUGGCUCGAAGGGA
rnacentral:rRNA from 1 species